CUUCUGUAGAAAAAAAAUUCCUUCCGAAGAUGUCCUUACAAAACUGAGAUUUGAUUGCUGAUCAAAAGGAAAUUCUCAGCUAUAACCAUUCUCAGAGGCCUGCCAUGAUCCCCCAGAAAGAACCAUGAUAGAUCUCAGAUUCUUUCCUUAAAUGUGAUGUUGAUGAGUACAUGGACAAAAAAGGCUAGCAAGUGCAAAAGUUGUAUGAACGUUUGUUCGCAAACAACAUCUAAGCAACCACGGGCCUGUAAACUUUACUGUCCCUACAUAUUUCUUCCACCAAGAGAAUAGGCAGUGAAGAUAGUGAAAGAUCCACUAAAAGAUGACAUUGUGACGACAUCUGUUGAAGACAAUAAGUUAUAAUUCUUGGUGUUGUGAUAAGUGCAUUCGCCUUCAUUAUUAUCUUCAACGUUGGAAUUGGAGUAGUGUGCUAUAGGAAGAAUUUGUUAUGUUCUCAUCAGAAUGCCCGGCAAAUUAACCGGCACGGAAGAGAAAUGGAUAUAAUGCAAGGUUUUUCCCUUCUAGACAAUGUAGCAGUCCUUGAAACUGGAGGACAUGAGGAUAACGAACCGAUAUUGAAAUCUUAACAUCUUAAAUUUUGUAUUUUGUUGUAUUGGAAUCUUAAAUUAAAUUUAACAUCUAAAAUUUUGUACUGAACUUGAUUGUAAAAAUAAUAUUUUAAUAUUCUCCAUACCAGAUUGAUUUCAAAUUUAUGAUAACUUAAAGCAAGAAGAGUCAUUUCAAUUUACGUGUUUUGGUUUCAAAUUCAACGUCAGACCGACCAUGCUACUCAACGUCUGCUUGACAAUUUACCAUCUACAGAGGAACAUGACCAGGAUCGCGAGAGACAGCAUGAGCCAAGAGAUUUUCUGAAGAACGAAAAUGAAGAAGAAAUGAAUCAUCUAGCUUUGGGUGAGCCUCAGAUGAUAGAUGUACAGACUGGAAAAUCUUUCGGCACGAGACAGUCAGAAGACAUGAACUUAGGGAUUGGUAACAGAAUGUAAGAACGGCACAGUUAAUAGAAUAUUUGAUUUAGAUUUUCAAAUUAUAUUAUAAUUAUCGUAUACAAUUAAAAGGAUUACCUGGCUUUUUGAUGUCAGUGGCAACAUACCUGAUUCAUGUUAAAGAAAUCACACCAGUUUAAAUAUCGGAUAAGUGUUUAAUUGUUAAAAUAGGCGUUUCCUUUUACAUAUUGAUAAAAGAUGCAAAGCCUAAAAUAGCCAAACAAAGACAUAUGAAUGUGGUUUCAAAUGAUUUAAGUGGUAAUGAACAAGAGUAUAAUGUUUUCCAAAGAACAAACAAGUCUGUCGAAACUAUGGCGGACAGUGGAGGAAGUACGGAUGGUGGUCGAACAAAUGAUAUUUAUUGCAGUUUCGCCGCGGGUGAAAGUAAAACGAAAUUGACAAUGAAUUUAACGUAUUGAGCUUUCUAGUGUAAUUAAUCCUCCUCAUGUAACAGGAAAUUGAAGAAAUUUUGACUAAGUAUUGUUACGAUUGAAAUCAAUGCAAAAGGCGUACAAUUAAUUUUGUGGAGGACAGUUAAUGCCAACACACCAAAGAUGAAAUGAAAAAAAAAAUGAGGUCAUAACUUGGAACUUUGAAGAACUGUUGGGGAGGCAUUCUCUGCAAGCUUUUAGUAGUGCAGGUGGGAUAUGGAAAGGGCACGUUGAAUCAUAUUAAGAUCAAUCAAGUGCAUUAAUCAGGUAUUGCAGCAGUUGCCGGAACCAACGUGAUGCACAUAACAAUCAGCCUUGAUAACAAUAAGUAACAUUAGCAAUUAGUAAAUGAAAAAGUGUGUAAGACGUUUGAAUUGAAAAUAGUGUUAAUAAAAAUAUUCUGAUGCAAAAAAUUGGAGCAACAUGUUUUUCAAUUUUGCUGAACUAUUCAUGCCAUAAACAUUUUGGAUUCUAUGUGAAAAAUAUUCAUUCUUUUUGUUUCGUCUUUUGUAUAAUUUUUAGGAUUCCUGUAUUUCUUUGUAACCAUAUUUAUUGUUAUUAAACCAAUUAUUCGGCAGAUUAUAACAUGUCUCGCCUUGUUCAGAUAUUUCGAAAAAAUAUAAAACCUUUGAUUGAUAUUAUUUUCAUGAAGUAGUUCUAUUGUUCAUGUCAACAUGCACGUUUUUGCAGCUUCUUUGUCAUAUUUAUUUUCAGUCGGCAUAUAUUUAGAGACUUACCCUAAGCUUUCUUUACACAACGGGAAACAAUCUGUUUAUAUAGUGAAAUUGUUGAGUGAUCACUGUUUGUUAAUCCUAAUC
rnacentral:misc_RNA from 1 species